UGUCGACAUACCCAAGUGGUUACGGGGUUUGACUUGAAAUCAAAUGCGAUCUCGCGCGCAGGUUCGAACCCUGCUGUCGACGG
rnacentral:tRNA from 2 species